CAAUAAAAACACCAACUAAUCAGUGGACAUCACCAUGAAUUUGCAAUAGGACCAUUCUAUUCUUAUCAUUCAUUCCUAUCAAAAACAUUUCAAUCAUAUAUACGAGACCAACCAACCAACCAACCAACCUUAUACAACACACAAAUUCACUAUUUCAUCUCCCAGUUGUAUUGUAUCGACAAAAUCAUGUUCUGCACUGCACUGUUAACCCUUCACCAUUCAUUCAUCUAUUACAACAAAUAUAUACAUACAUACAUACACAUAUAUGUAUUGUCUUUCCACAAAUGAUCCAAACUGUGCUGUAAAAGCACCAGUCCUUUUAAAAUGAGUUGAGACCAUGAGACAACACACGUGGAGCCUCUCAAGCCCUUCAACACCCCUCCCCUCCCCCCCUACAUCAUACAUAUAUACAUUUAUAUAUUUCAUCUGUCUUGUGUUUACACCCCUUCUUCUUCUUCUUCUUCUUGAAAGUGAAGAAUGAAUGAGGUGCAGUGCAGAUCAGAUGACAGGCCAUUGUGCUGCUUUCAUCCCACUGAAUUGGUUGUAGGGGUUUGUGCUUUCUGUUUGAAUGAAAGGCUCUUAGUUUUAGCAUCCAAACAAGCCAACCUGCAUCGAUCACACACUACUGCAUCGCCAAGAAAAUCGCCUAUAACCAUCCCAAAGAUCUUGGCUCUAACAAGUUUGCUCAAUCGUCUCGAUGUCAAACCACAUCAACCUGAUGAUGAUCAUCAACAUCAUGAUGUGUAUCUUCAGAGUUCAUCAACCUGCAGUCCAGAAGGUCAGUUUUUCUUUCUUACCUUUUUCGUUAUUUUCUUUUCUCUCUCUAAUAUUCUACAUACAUUCAAUUCUUUCCUGGAAGUGGUAAAGGAUGAGAGAGUAUUCAAUGAUGGAUGAUAGAUAGAAAACAGCAAUGAAUGCAUGAUAAAGAUGGGACUAAUAACCUGUUCUAUCUGAACAAUUCAGCUGUCUCAUUAUGACUAUUUGACUCGUUUAUAUCAAUCAAAUUUGAAGACAAUGGUGUUGCCUCAUGGGGCAGGGAGAGUAAAAAAAGGCCCCAUGAUCUGCAGUGUGACAUGUCCUUGAGAAAAAGUUGGGGCAUUGCUAAGAAUGCCAAGGGUGUCGUUGAGCAUGCAAAGCCACGCGUCUUGCCAAGGUGGCGAAGACGGAUAGGCCACCUCUUCCAUGCUGUCAGACGAAAGAGGUCCAGCAAAGGCAAUGUUUGCCAUGUGGGCACAAAGCUGGAAGCAACCAGGGUUAAAUAUGGUUGGGUUAAGACCCUCGCAAAGAAGAGAAGUAAAGAUCACUAGGGCUGUGAAUAGGAAGAGGACUUUGAGCUAUUCUUGCAACUCCCCAUUUUGUGUGUAUACUGUGUGCCUAAGUAUGAAAUCGAAUUUCAUUUUUAGGCCAAACAUGAAGAAGAAAUGUGUGAUAUAAAAGAAAACAUCAUAUUGUGUUCGAA